CUCAAUCGUAAGCUAUUUUAUAUAUUAAACAACUCUUAAUAUAGGGAGCUCACACAUUCUAUUUUCAAGUGUGUACUCUUAUAUCCUUCAAUCCUCAAGUGUUCUAACGACAGUAAAAACUUUCACCAUAUUUCCAUCUUUCAGUUCCAUUAUCCACGAUCAAAGUCCAAAAUUGGAAAUAACAAAUCGAUAGUGUGUAUUCAAUACACUGUUCAGGUCAUGAAUUUGGCACUAAACUUACAUAUCAUAUGAUUAUAGAUAUAGUUCACUUAAUUCUAAAAUGCCACGACUUCAAGUAAUAUACAACAAACUACAAAUGAAGGUCUCAAAUGAGGGACAUCAACCGACUAAUUGGAAAAAUUGAUCUCUAUAACCCGCUUCAUCAGUUUUUUUACAUGCCUCGUGUAGAUAGUGGACUGUGGUGAACUCCAGCCAGUCCAAUGGAAACACUAGCGAUCAAUGAAAGAUUUGUUCAUAAGAUUAACUGCUGAAUCCAUAAACUGCAAACCAUGAAAACAAGAACCAUGUGAUAAAGGUAAAAACGAAACUUUAUUACAAAUACUAGCAGUUGCAUGCAGGAAAUCAGCAUCAUAUGUGCGUAUUUACAGAAUUAAACAUCUGAAUGCGUAUACUUGAACUUACUCUAAAAUGUUGAGUCAACUUUCUAUGCAGUAUUUGCCAAUCAGACAGAAAGAGAGAGUGAUGUUUUAUGUCUUUCAUUAAUAAAUUGGCCAAACUUAUAGUGAAAGUAAUAAUCACGCUUAGGUAUGUACAGAUGCAGUUGCAGCUCUCUGUAUGCAUAUAGCUACCCCACUUUGCGUUCUAGCCAUUCUGUCUAUGUUCCCUCUUGUUUGAGUAAUACCAUUCAUUGAGUUACAAGUGCACAGGUAUCUCGGUAGCCUAUGAGUUUUUAGGAGCUACUCAUUUACAAUUUAUAAGCUAUCACAUCACAGUUUAAAAAAUGUAAAAUAAACUUUAUCGUGCAGCUAACAUAUUUUACGUAAAAAGAAUAUGCAAUUUUUUACUGGAUGUAAUAUAGUUACUAACCAUACUAAUAAGCUUCCACAGAAUCUACUGAAUCAAUACAUUUAUCUUCUUGAAGAGCAUGUCAACUUCAGUCGAUUGAACUAAACUGGACAAAGUAGUAUUACCUUCCCAACCGAUUUAAGUUCUCGUCCAAUAGGUUCCAUAAACUUCAGGUCGACUUCAAAGGGCCAUACCUACAUGCAUAAAGGAAGUUGAUUGGAAAUGCAAAAUACUGAAAGCUAAAGCAUAAUGAAGAGGCUGAAGACAAAACCAGAAAAUUAUUGAGACAAUAUAGUUUGACAAGAUAUUGACAGUUAUAGCUUGGCAGAAUAAGAUAAAAGAAAUUAAAUAGCAUAGCUGCUUUCAUCUCAAACUAAAAAGUCCAAAACCAUAUACACCUCAUCUCACCACCCCGAAGCAUAUAAAUCCACCCAAUCGAUGAACACUCCAAAAAAACUCAUGAAGCCUUCAAUGAGGUGGCAACCAUUGUGAGAAACAUCAAAUGCCUUUUAACUUCAACUGAAAGGGAACAAAGGAAGAAAAAGAUAUGAUCACGCAUAGAUGUUCUACUUGUUCAUGUGCUCUAAUUUUUAAUUCCUACCAUGUCAGGAGGUAAGGCCUUGUAGUUCACAGACUAAAUGAAGCAACGACAACAACAACAACCCAGUAUAAUCCCACUUAGUGGAUUCUGGGGAGGGUAGUGUGUACGCAGACCUUACCCUACCCUUGGGUAGGGAUGCUGUUUCCAAAUAAACCCCAUGCAUCCUUCCCUCCAAAAGCUUCCCACCUUACUCUUGGGGAGACUCGAACUCACAACCUCUCGGUUGGAAGUGGGGGGUGCU
rnacentral:lncRNA from 1 species